UUGUAAUUUUCAGUCCGUGCGUCUGUUUUGACUGUGAUUGAUUAGCGGCCAACCGACCCGAAGAGUGCUGGCUCUAAUUCAUAAUGGUUGUAUUACACAGUUAUGCAAUUAUUUAUCGAAUUGUUUGCAAUGGAGUUCAUCUUAUUACAUAAACGGCAAUUGUAUUUUAUAUGAAUAUCUUUUCUGAUGAAAGUAUAACGGCAACAACGUUAUUAUUUAUUAAAAUGUGUAUUGGAUAAUCGUACGAUGAAUGAAAUCUUUUUUUUUCUCCUCUAUUAUAAUAGUGACUGUAUAUUAAUUAAUGUGAUUUGUAAAUUUUAGAUAGUGCACGGCGCCUUUGGUAAAUCUACAAUAUUUUCACUUCUGUUGUACUCACAACGUGUUGAUAGUUUUGUGCUGUUGGUUUAUUUUUUUGCCUAUGCUUGCCCUCCCUCACUGUUCGCCGUUCCUCCAAAACGAUUGUCAAACAACGAUUCCAUAAGAUAUUGCCGUUCGACGACAGAGGAUCAUCACGAUUACUACGUGCAGUUCGCUCUUGGAGUUCAUCGAAAACGAUUAUUUCUUAUUUAAUUUACAACGUAAUUCCUUUACCGAUAUUAUUGUAUCUGUUUACGUUUGAGUCUCUCAUUAAACCGUAUUUUUCUAAUAAUA